UAUACAAGGUUAUCGGGUUGGUUUUUUUUCAAGAUUUUUACAAAUCAAUUCUUCUGAAAUAUAAUGUUAUCAAAUUAAACUUUUGCAUCUUUUCUUCAGUAUGACCAGCAAGUUCAGCUGGAGAUCUAACACAACACUUAGGCUAAUCAUCCAAACAAUUCCUAUUAUUGUUUUGAAUUCUAAAUACUUAAAAUGUUAAAUAAAGAUAUUUAGACUACGAAUAAGUACGGAAUUAAAUAGACCAAUCAUGAUAGCAUACUAGCGAGUAUAAAUUAAUUCGAUAUUCAGCAACACACGAGGGCCAUCUUAGCCAAGGUAAUUCAACUACUCAUCAGCUAGCGGUUCACUUGAGGGGCACGCUGCUGUAGGAAAAUAAUCAACGACGGGCUGAGGUGAGGUGAGGUGAGGUGAGGUGAUGUGGCCUGAUACGAAGCGGACGUAUAAUCGCAGAAAUCUAUACCGCAGCAGUUCUCCAGCGAUUACAUUCGUUAUUUAUUAAAGAAUGACACGUCUUCUUCGUGUCGUGUUUAUGGGUAUGUCAAACAAGUUAGUUCCUUUUAUGACUCACAUUUUACAUUUAUAUUUAUUCAUUUAUUGCAGACGCUGUCAUCCAAAUGAGGAAAUACAAGAACAGCGACAUGUCAAGCGGAGAACAAUACAAGUAGUGCUACAAUACAAGAUCUUUAAUGAAGUUCUAGAGAAGCAAAGUACGCAGAGUAGAGGUGUAAGUGCCAGUGUAAUUUUAUUUAUUUUUUUUUUAAUUUAUUUAUUUUUUAAAUAAUAGGGGUUUGUCAAGUUAGGGGUUAGUUAAGUGUUCAAGGAAGAGGUGGGUCUUUAGUUUGUUUUUGAAAAUAGUGACAGGAUUCUGCGGUCCGGAUUGAGGUUGGAAGUUCAUUCCACCACUGACGGACGGUCAGUUUGAAGGUUCUGGAAAGGGACCUUGAGCCACGUUGAGUAGACACUACUAAGCACCGGUCGUUAAUCGAUCGCAGAUUGCGUGAGGGAACGUAAACCUCAAGGAGAGUGUUGAGGUGGGCAGGGAGUGAGGCUGUUCCAGACAAGGCCUUGAAUUUGAGGAAGCCAGCGGAGGGAGAUGAAGAGGGGUGUGACGUGUUCCUUUCGGCUGGCUGAUUUACGUUAUAGCAGCUAUAAAAUUGUAGAUCCCUCACUCCCGGACCCUCACCCCCCUUCUCUCAUGAUAUUGAAUCAUACAUGUUACCAAGAAACUAGAAAGCCCAUCAAUCCCAGAAAUUUAACAUUACAGCUUGGGUUGUUAGAAAGCACUGACACUGGAGACGUCUUCCACAAAUGUUAAACAAACAUCCCCUGACAGAAAACCUCACCCUAUCUGAACGUUCAUUAUAUCAAGCUGUUUACUAUUAGUCUUUUUAUGAUUCUGUGACGUCCUAGUCGUUACUAUAGAAACGAGAACGUAUUAGAACGCGCGCAUUAGCAUAAACAAACCUGUGAUGUGCAGCCGGAAGUACACUCAGCGCUGCUGUCGGAGCAAAUUAAUCAACCCCUUUUGACCAAUCAGAAUGGAGAAUUCAACAGCGCUGAGGUGUGAAUGGAAUAAUAAUAAUAAGCUUAUUGUUGUGGUCACGCACAAAACGAAUACGUCACACCGAAAACUCCUAAAAUGGCGUCUCGUUUGAUGUUAAGUGCACUAAACAGGAUGUAGAGUCACUCCAUUGUUUAAUUUACUAUAUCAGUAGGGAGUCCGAGUUACCUGAGCAGGUCAGCUAGUGGGUCUCCGUGUCACUUAACUCGGGCUUGAAAACAAAACCGAGUCAACACCUACCAACCGAGUCAAGUGUACACAAAAUAUUUCCCUGUAGAGAAGAUUAAAUCAUUCAGACAGCGCUGCAGUCCUCCUCCUUCUUCUUCUCCUCCUCCUCCUCCUCCUCCUCCUCUUGGGAAUGUCUAGUGGUUGGAGAAUCAACAUCUGGUCUCGUUACCGCCAACAUCUGGGCUGGAGUCUGGGGCCAGAUUUCAGCGUGUCCAGGGCGUGUCCAUGUCUUCUCCUCAUGCCUCCUGGGAUAGGCUCCAAGUUCCCCGUGACCCUGAAGGAUAAGCGGUAUAGAAGAUGGAUGGACGGAUGGAUCAUUUUCCACAACAAAUACUGCAGACUAGCUAUGUAUUUUGCUUUCAGCGGUGUAUGGAGCCAGGGUCUGAUUAUAAUACAAUAACAGGGCACAACAUGCCUCACAGCACGCUUCAUUUCGCAUUUUACUCCUCAGAUAUAGAAUAUAUUGAUAAAGUGUACUCAAUAUGUGUAACUAACAUCUGGAACGAUUACUUAGAAGCAUAAUCUAAUAAUCAAUAUUAGUUAACAAGCAUAAUCUAUAUGUAUAAUCAAUGUUCAGAAGCAUAAUCUAAAACCAUAAAACACCUUCUACUGAGCUAGAAGACGUCUAUGUUGUACUGCACAGCAGGUGUUUUUCAGCACCUCUGUAUUUCCUGAGUAAAUUCAGUUCUAAGAACCGUGUGUUUUGUCUACAGCAGCUUCACUCCAUGGCAAUAAAUUAGCAAUUAGACAUUCACCAGAACUGUGUUUCCAGAUCAAAGCCCUUUAAGCUUGCAAAUAACAAGCAGUGUCGAAAUAACAGAUCAGACUUCCAGGAUGAAGUGUACCAGGCUGGGACUAAAGCCAGAAAAUCAUAAAGGUAUAAAGGUGAAUUUUGGGGUAGAGUAAAAACCUGAUAAAAACCUUUCAGCAAAUCAGAUGCAAGGCGCAUGCGCUGCAUAAAAUUAACGUUGUCCUAAUAAAACCUUUAAGAAAAUAGAAUUGACCACGCAUGCGCCGCAAAUGUAAGAUAUCAUAUAGACAUGAAUAAUUAAUUAAGGCGAUGGAGACUGGUUUGUUUUUUUAGAAAGAAGAGGUUAAUCCCCCGCCUACGAGAUAAGUUUACUGUUUCAGAAAAGUAUAUAAUAAAG